rnacentral:lncRNA from 1 species
CAAUAUCCCUUCAGUCAGCAAUAAUCAUGUUAUAAACCUUAUAAAAGCAUAAAAUACAUAUAAACAAGUUAACUAUUUAAUAUUCUUACAUUCCCCUCUUUGAGCAAUAAAACAAUUGCUCAUCUUAUCGAUAAAAUCUUACCAGGACAGAGAAACUUCCACAUGGUAUUUUCAGGGGUGCUAGUCACUCCCUGCGGGACUUUCAUUAAUUUCUUCACCUCGAUUCCCAUGUGGUAAUUCCUAAGGCCCAGUUUAAAGAUGGGUUGAUACCCUACAGUGGCGAGAGGAGAAUUUCUAAUUGUUUCUGUUCUGCAUUAUGGAUUAAUUUCUGUACUCUCUUCCUCAAUGUACAAGUAAGGUGACAGUUAUAUAAAAUCAUACACAAUAAAAUCAGGACUAUAAUAACAAAAAGAUAGAAGAAUGAUUUCAUUAUCUGGGAUCCAGUAGGGGACCAACCAGUAAAGCAUUGUACCAAUUAUGGGCUAAAUCAUUCUGAAUUUGUGAACUCACCUUAAGGAGUUCUCCUUUUAGGAUAUGUGUGGCUACCUGUGUGUGUUAUCUUUGGGGAAAAUAUAGUCCCCUGUGUAUGUGGGUGCCCACCAGGUUAAAUUCUUGGCAAAAAGAUCAUGUACUGGUAAUGUGUUAAAUUGACAAGCUAAUUUAACAUCCUUUGAUGAUGUAUGAUAUAAUGUAAAAUAGCAUGAGCAUGAAAAAUGUGAAACAUUACCAGUUAACCAUCCAUUGCAUUUACUGGAUUGGGGUUUUAGAAGUAACCAUUCAUUAUCUGUGAGAUUACGCUUUCCUCUAAUCUUCUCUAGUUUAGGAAUCAUUAGUGUGUUUUCUAAUGCCAAUCCUUGUUGUUGUAUCCAUAAAUACCUGAUGGCACAAGUACUCCAGUUACUUAGACCUGUAGUGAAUUUCAUAGUUGCAACAGUUAAAUUAUCUAAAUAAUUAUACAUUGAUUUAUCUAAAUCCAAUCCUGUAACCUGUGAUUUAACAACAAUUGGAGCCCAGUUUGCAGUAGCAUGGAAACCAGUCCCUAUAUGCAUGCUGGCUGUGUUUAACUUAUUCUUGAGGGUCUCCAUAUCUAUAACUAUUUAGUAUACCCAUAGUGGUUCCAGCACCAUCUAACAGUGUGUCAUACCAUUCCCUUUUCUGCCUUUGUUUGUUGUAUUACAUAAUGUUACAACAAGAGUAGUGACUUUUAAUGACACAUGUACAGCUUGUAAGAAGGCAGUUGUAUUAACACAUGUGGACGGAAUAGGUGUGUCUGUGUCGUGUUGACUUUUGGUUCUAUGGUAGAGGAUAAAGGACAGUAAUAAGGUGUAAAAAUAUAAGGUAGUGUAUAGUUCUCAAUUGUAGUGUCGUUCAUAAUGACUAACAUUUGUCCCCUUCUCCAAUUAAUGAUACCAGUUAUAUAAUCAUUAUUAAAAGUAAUAAGGCCUGUCUGUUUACAUUGAUAUGCAACCUUAACUGUGCACAUUUCUGCGUUAUAAGAUCUAACAAUUUUCUGUGAACCUUUAAACAAACAUAAUGCAUCGGUUUCAUUAGCUGUAGACACAUUUCAUAUGGGUAACUGGUACUUAUAAGGGUUACUAUUUGUCCAAUUCAUCCAAAUGCGUUCAGUGAAUGAAUGAUUGCAUAUUGCAUGCUGAUAGAAAGGUGGUGGAGAAAGGUUCUUGAGGGGGCGUGUGUGACGAAUGCUAGAUGAGGGGCUAAGGCCUAAUUGGGCUGGGGGUAUUGAAGAAUUGUUCAUCAUGUCAGAGUCUUUUUCCAGAAACAGACAGGUUUCAAACUUGCCAUUGACUUGUACUCAUAAUGGCAUUCAAGGAACAAUAUCAGAGGGAGUAUAACAACUCCAGAAAGCAUAGCACACAACAUAAUCUUGGUCUCAGGUACGUAUGAUCCUCUCAAUCUACGAUAUGGUGUAAAAGCCAUGAUGCUUCGCUGAGGAGAAAUUCUUCUGUUUCCGAGCGAGGAGUGGUGUUGUCUUCCUUGGUUCCCCUCUUUGGACACAGCUUCACUCGGGAUGCAUGAAUCCAGAUGUCGUGGGAAUCUGUGAGGACAGCGGUUCUGGUUACAGCAAUCACAGUAGCAGGUGGUCCAAAAGGGUAUCCUCCUUUCUUGGUCCUGUUCAGCUGACGGAUAUACACCUUGUCACCGGGCUGGUAUGAAUGAGUAGGUUCCUGUGAAGGUAAGGGAAAACUGCGAAGAAACAUUGUCAUACAUACCAUUCGGUUUUAUCAACAACUCCUGUACAUAUUGUUCUUGUAUUAGCUGUAAAUCCCCAGACAUUAUAACAAGCGGUUCCCUGGCCCAGGGUGUGGGAAAAGGUCAUCCCAUCAAAAAUCUCAGAUGGAGAUAAUUUAGUCACCUUGUGGGGAUUCAUUCUUAUCUCAGCUAAAAUAGCUGGUAGAUAUCUAGUCCAAUUUACCCAUGUUCCUGGGUAAAUUCUGGGCUUUUCCUUAAUAGUCCUAUUCAUCCUUUCAACUACCCCUGUAUUCUGUGGAUGAUAGGGUAUAUGAAACUGCCAGGUAACUUGCAAGAAUUUAGCAAGUUCCUGGGCAACCCACUGGCAAAAACCGGGCCAUUAUCAGAGCCAAUCUGCAGAGGGCAGCCAUACCUGGGAAUAAUUUCAGUAACAAUAAUCUUCACUAGCAUCUUCCCUAGAUGUCACAAAGGCCUCAUGCCAUCUACUAAACUGAUUAACUAUGACCAGUAAGUAUUGCUGUUUCUUACCAAUUUUGGAUACAUGAAUAAAAUCAAUCUGUAAGUGUGUAAAAAGAGCAGUGUUCACACGAUCUUACAAAAGACUGUACAUGCUGCCUGAGAUUCCUAAUAUAAAAUGAAUUCAUGAGGAAUUGAAUGGUGCUUGCUAUGUGCCUGACUGAUGAAAAUAAAGCAGCUUGCUUCAAGUAUGCCUAUUCUUCAAGUAUGCCUAUUCUCCCCUCUUUAGAGAACAGAUCAUUUUGAUCUUUCUCUAAACCUUAUUUAAUCCAAAAGACAGAUUCUGGGUAUUAAAAAAAAGAAUCUCAUAACCACUUAAGUGCUGGGCUGUCAUGUGUUGUGUGGUGAGAUUUGUUAUCAGCUGAGUGACCUGGUGACUGGCAUGAAGUAUUGUAGGAUGCCCUAGUGUGAUAGUAGUAGCAGUUUCAACAGCCAUUGCACAUG